rnacentral:rRNA from 1 species
AACGUAGGAGACAAACGUUGUCCGGAUUUAUUGGGCGUAAAGAGCGUGUAGGCGGCCAUACAGGUCCGUUGUGAAAACUGGAGGCUUAACCUCCAGACGUCGAUGGAAACCGUAUGGCUAGAGUCCGGAAGAGGAGAGUGGAAUUCCUGGUGUAGCGGUGAAAUGCGCAGAUAUCAGGAAGAACACCCGUGGCGAAGGCGGCUCUCUGGGACGGUACUGACGCUGAGACGCGAAAGCGUGGGGAGCGAACAGG